UCCGCGUGAUGGACGCCCGGAAGCAGGGACAACAAAGGCCCCUGCGCAAGGGCCGCCCGGUCUGCUGAUCUUUCCGCUGCUCGCGGGGCGAAGAUGGCGCCCAGACCCUACAGCUGUGCCCGAGUUUGGGUCGAAUGGGCGCCUCUACUUUCUCUGGACUAGGCCUGAGAGUUGGCCCAAGGGGCAUGCGGGACCUCGUGUGUGCACAACCCUGGGGUGUGCCCCUUUCCACGUGUGUACAACCUCGGGACAGUGCACUCGUCCCAGUAUACGUAGACUUGUGUUUGCACCAUCCGAUAUGCACGAACCGGUGGGUUUCCACGUUUUCCUCUGUGCACGAUCUCAAGGAUUUGCUUUUCACACGAGUAUGCGCACACUUGUGUUUGCACCGAAUGGCUGCCCACAGAGCUCAUUGGGCGUCUCCCACUUUGCAUUGGGGCCACGCGGUGACAGCGAUGGGCAGCUAGUGAAAGAAAUGGGCAGUUACGGGCAACACGGCCAGCCAAAGAAACUAGAAGGGAAGAAGGGAAAACUUCAUCACCCCUGCAGCAGCCAAACACUUCCUGCCUCUAGGAGUUUAUAGACCCAAAUUGCAGGACACUAGGGUCCAAGAGCAAAAUAGCUUCGUCACACCUGAUAUGAUGCUGAAAGUCUAUCCAAUGUGGAUUACAGCCCGCUGGGCUGCCCCUGUGCCUCUGGGAUUAAAACUCUAGGGAUGAGGGGCGCCUGGAUGGCUCAGUCGGUUGAGCGUCCGACUUCAGCUCAGGUCACGAUCUCGCGGUCCGUGAGUUCGAGUCCCGCGUCGGGCUCUGGGCUGAUGGCUCAGAGCCUGGAGCCUACUUCACAUUCUGUGUCUCCCUCUCUCUCUGCCCCUCCCCCGUUCAUGCUCUGUCUCUCUCUGUCCCAAAAAUAAAUAAAUGUUAAAAAAAAAAAAAAAAACCCUCUAGGGAUGGGACACCUAGGUGGCUCAGUCUGUUAAGUGUCCUACUCUUGAUAUCAGCUCAGGUCAUGGUUGUGGGAUUGAGACCCAUGUUGGGCUCUAAGCUGAGCAUGGAACCUGCUUGGGAUUCUCUCUCCCUCUUUCUCUGCCCUUCCCCCACUAGAGCAUACGCUCACACGCUCUAUCUCUCUCUCUCAAAAUAAGUAAAAAAUUGGGGCGCCUGGGUGGCUCAGUUGGUUAAGUGUCCAACUUCAGCUCAGGUCGUGAUCUCAUAGUUCGUGAGUUCGAGUCCCAUGUCAGGCUCUGUGCUGACAGCUCAGAGCCUGGAGCCUGCUUCAGAUUCUGUGUCUCCCUCUCUCUCUGCCCCUUCCCCACUCAUGCUCUGUCUCUGUCUUAAGAAAAUAAUAAUAAUAAAAUAAAAAUAAAUAAGUAAAAAAUAAUAAAACAUUAAAAAAUAAUAAAACAACUCACAGACCUGGCUAGCUUAGUCUGCAGAGCAUGAGACUCUUGUUCUCGGAGCUGUGGGUUCGAGCCCCACGUUGGAUGUAGAGAGUACUUCAAAAUAAAAUCUUUGGGGAAAAGAAGAACAACUGGGGAGCUGUGAAGGUGCAGACUGGAUGGGUGCACAACCCCUGCUACCCUACCAUGGGGGGUGACCUUGCCAAACAUAGCCUCCCUCUCCCAUAUGCAUUCCACAGUUGCCCCAGUCCUGGGCAUGGUCCAUAGUCCUUGCUACGGGGGUUAGGGAGAACUGACCUGAUCAGGAGCACCAGGCACUUUAUGCAGAAAAAACCACUAGGGACCUUCCUCACAAGGGCACUGUGGGCU